rnacentral:lncRNA from 1 species
GAGCGACAGGUGUUGCGCGGCGGAAGGGGGGGGGGGGGGGGCUGCAAAAAUCUGCGCCAUAGAUCUGCGCUAUCAGUUCAGUGCGAAUUGCGUGACGAGCACGGGUUGAGGAAUUUCAUCAAUGUUCGGUUUCCAAGUGGCGCGACUUCGCCCGCGAGAAGUAACCGGGUCGCGGUUCGCCUGUGCCGAAUCGUUGUCCUGCAGGACAACGAAAGACUUGGGAUCCUCCCUCCCAAAGCUCGGCGAGUAAGGCCUCUGACUCUUAGGGUUGUAGAUUAUACUUUCAUUCUCUGACGGUAAAACCUUCGCUGGAACUACUCCAGGACCUGGAUGUCUGUUACGGCCAAAACCACGCGGCUCGUCGUCCACGUUACAGACGUGCAGCCGGUACGUAGGACUUGGCGAGCGUCGUCGCAGGACCGACGGAUCCGUCGCUUCAACGUGCGUCGUCGGACGCUGCAGGCCCAACGAUCCUCUGAAAAAAGUUACCUUCCAGAUGUCCUCGCUACUAGCACGGAACGCCCUGCGAUACUCGGUGAUGAGAUUCCCGAGGGAGCCUUCCGCCCUGCAGAGGCUGUCUUUGGGCCGACCCUGGACCCGUCUUCGGCGAUAACGAGCGAGCUCGUCCACCGUCAGACUCUGUGGGAAUGGCCAUCGCUCUUUGCCUUUGCCUCGCGCUAUCUCAGAGUCGGAGGAAGACUUGCCCAACCCGCAGAGCUGCCGUCGUCUAGAAUUAUUGCACAAGAAGGUAAACAGGCGGGACGGUGUUGAAAUUCCGAAUUUUAAAAGUUCGAAAAUUGAAGUAAAGAAAUCAGAUUUUGACGAAACAUCAAAAUUUCGAAUGGUCCAACACUCGGCGCUCAAAGUUCCGAAAGUGCAGAGUUCUGAAAUGACAAAAUGCUGAAGGACGUAACUCCGACAAGUCAAAGUUCGAAAAGUGCGAAAAUUAGAAAAUUUAAAAAUCUAAAUCAUAGAAAUUCCGAAUGAUCGAAAAUCUUCAGUUCUGUGAAUUUCUGGUUUGGUCAAAUUUCAUUGCUUUGAACUUUCUUUGUUUUGGAUUUUCAAUAUUUUUUUAGAUUUUUUACACCUGGUCGUUGAGUAAACUACGCUGUAUAAGUAUAUUUUCAUGUCCCGAACUUUACUCUAUCGAAACUUUAUUUUUUAGAACCUUGGUCUAUCGUAACUUGAGUUUUCGGAACUUUGAGCCGUCGAGUUUCCAACCAUUCGAAACUUUGUUGUUUCGUAAAAGUUUGAUUUCUUUACUUCACGUUUAGCCACCAAAUUAUUCGGAACUAGGAGCUUUCGGAAAUUUUUAAAUUCAGAAUUUCAUACCCCGCCCCAAACAGGCAGCUAAAUGUAUAAGAUUAGGAGAAAGUUUUGUUGCAGAGUUUCGUUGGGGAAGAUUGAAAAUAAUUGAGUUGGAUGAAGGAGUUGCUUAGAGAAGCUGUUUUUUCAAUUGUUUUUCGCAAAAUCCAAUGUAAUCUGUAUACCUUGACGCACUCUUAGGCUUUAUCUUUAAUUUCCUCUAAAUAUACUCAUAUAUACUCACAUUCAAAAACAAUAUUGAAACGUUUUCACCAUUCAUCGCUAGCUUGCAGUGAGUCUAAAUUUAAUUUUGCGAAUAAAAAUGAUAAAAAUAACUUACGAAAAGGGAGAGAAAUAUAUGGAAAUAGAUUCCAAAGAAGCGAAGUCUCGCGACCGCGUUACCAAAGCUGCAGGAUGCCGACGGCAGAAAUCGCGUGUUAAAAACUCGCAAAAGGCAUGCUGCGGGCCGGGCCGAGAGUUCGAAACAAACUGAGCACGACUGCAGGGAGGAUAAUGGGCGUCGGGAGGAAGGUACAUGCCGUCACAGGCAUCUCCGCAUACGGGGAACAUCGAUUUAGAACACGAGGAGAAAUAAAAUCCGGUUUAUGCGGUAUAAUGGAUUCCCGACACGGAAGCAAUCGAAUUAAGAGGCAAUCCAGAAAGUGGACCAAAAAUACACCGGUGCCAAUCACGUUUCGGGCAAUUAAUUAUUCGACGAGCCGCCAUCCUGCCUUUUAUCUUCGUCCGUAUGUAAAGCGCUUUUCGCUUUACUCCUAAUCCGUGGAUAAUCGCUCAUCUUUACCGGAUCACGCGAUGAUCGGCUCAGCUCUAAUAUACCCACUUAGCGGUAUUAAACGCAUAAUUUAACUGCCUCGUUGAUGUAAUCUGCCAAGUUUUAUCAUCAAUACAGAUAGAAUGAUACAAACCUCAGAGAUUUUUUCUUCUCGAUACCCGAAACAUCGCAGAAGGCUUACAUUUUCCUUUUAAUCUUCAUUUCUGAUGGACAGCUUGUAGGUAUAAAUUGAGUAUUCCAGAUAAUACAGUGAUUUUGUAUCGUAGAUGUUUUUGAGCAGUUCUAUACUAAUAAUAAAUUUGAUCGACGUAAGACCGGCAGUUAAUG